rnacentral:lncRNA from 1 species
AGAAUUGAUGGUAGGAAGGGUACCAGGAGAUAGACCCACACAGAUGGGAUUUGGGAAUAGGUUUGGUUAUCCAAGGAGCAGUGCUGAGCUCCUUGCUAAUGGGAUAUGGGAGGCUGGUGAUUUCCAGGAAGUGACCUCACAAUGACUCAAGCUACCACAUACUGUUCAUUGUGAAAUGCCAGUUGAAGCAUAUGUCCUGUGAGCUUAGGGGUGCUACAAGUUGACCACUGCAGCAGUAAAGAUGAUUCUGAAGAAUGGCAUGGGAUGGAUCCUUUCGAAUGCACUUGAGCAGCGGUCUCCAACCACAGGGCCACAGAGCUGGAGCUGGAUCUACCAUGAAAGACUUCUGAAUCCAGGAAG